GAGUUGUACUAUAAUUUAUUUAAAUAAACUCUCAUUUUCUCUCCAAGAUCUGUCUCCCAGUCCCAUAUUCCGACUAAACUCAAAAUUUAAAUCUACCUUCAGGGCCCCAGAAGACAGCAAGACAGUAAUAGAUGAUGUGUUCUGUUCCUCCCCAAGAACCUCAAAGAACUGCAAGAAGAGUAACUGCAGUGCUGCAUUUCCACAGUGACUGAAGUGACACCUCAGCUCAAGGCUACUGCAGAGCAUCCUGCCAGGAAGACGUUAGACUCGGUCGACAGCCAACUGCUGCACUUCUGCCUGCCUAGGCUCCAGAGGGUCAAUCUUCCUCCACUUUCUCUCUUCCCCUUUCUUCCAACGGGGUUGCUUCUUUCGGCAUGGGAUGAGUCAGCACGGCUUCAGCACCUCAGCACCACCUGAAGCUGAGGCUCACCCCAUCUUCCUCAAACCUGCCAAUCCCUCUUCAAGCCCAAUAAGCAUUGCUAGGCGGCAUCAUUC
ensembl:lincRNA